rnacentral:ncRNA from 1 species
CCGUUGACAAAGUGCCGACUUCGGAGAGAACAGGCCGAUCGUAAAGACGCCGUUAAUACAUCCAUGUAGGCUCGUGCCGCGCCAUAUAUGG